CCUGUCUGAAGGACACCUGUAGGACUGGUCUGGUCUCACCUGUCUGUGUUUCUGUAUGUGUCCCUCCACUGAUGACGACCCUCUCCUCACGUUGAUGGGAUCGACUUUACUAAAGGUCGAGUGUUUCCUGUUUCCUAAACGUCUCAGAAACAGAUGUUGGAGAGUAAAAGCAGCGUCGUCCCGUGUUGGGGCCGACACCCGCUGCUGGUUCCUGCCAUCCUCAGAGAUGAGAUCUGGACUCAGCUUCCUCAUAAUCAGCAGCAGUUGAGAAAACACGGCGAGCUCACAGUCUGAGCCCCCAUUCGCCGACCCAGUGACCCGCUGACCUCCUGACCCCCCCGAGACUCCGACUUCCAAUCACGCCUCGGCUUUGGAUUCUGGGUAACGUAAACAAAGGAAGGGCGGAGUCUCAGUCGGAACAUUCAGUCUUGACCUUGGAAACACCGAGCUUACAAACACGCAUCAACUAAAGGUUUUACUUACUGGUUUAUUCUGGAGCUUUUAACCAUGUCUUCAUCAUCAUCAUCCUUUUUCCUGUGAAUGUUGAGGAAAGUUUGAACAUCUGCGGCUGAUGAAGAAGACAGUCGAAAGCUGCACAACAAGAUAACGUCUGCACCUCUGCUGCUCGCCACACUUUUCUGAUGACUCAGAACAUUUACCACAGAAAGUCUCCCUGAAGUACUGUGGCCCUCAGGGUUCAACACACCGCACUCACCACAACUCAUGAGGUGCAAGUACUCACAUCACAACAGGAAGUGUUUCCAGGGGGACAUGAGAAGAGUGACGGACACUGUGUAACAUUAGACUGAACCAACGCUAUUAAAACCUCAAUAUCACACGAUUCAGAUAUUAUUGCAAAAAUGUUAGCUGUUAGCUUAGCCUUUGGGUCCGUCCCUUUUUAGUGUCCCCUGGAAACACCUCUGUUGUGUUGUGAUUAGGUUUGUGUUUUGUUUGUUCCUGAGGUUGAUGUGUUUACUGACUGUUUCACUGUCACAGAAAACACAGUGUUGGUGAAUUUCAGGACACCUGGAGGAUCUUAAAGGUUCUCCGAGGAUCCUUAAAGAUCAUUGAAAGGCCCUUGAACAUUCUCCACUCUCCUGGAAUAGUGAACAUGAACUUUGAAACUCAGACUUAAAGUCAAGAUCCUCGAUUCCGUCUUGGAAUUCAAACUUUUCAAUCACUUUCAAGGAUUGUCAGAAAGAUUCAAUGAUCCCUACCCUGCUGGAAUCUGGAGAUGUGACAUUAACACGUCCAGUUUACUUCAGCCUGCUGAACUUUGUUUCUACGGAGACCUGGAUUCCUGGAACACCUUGAAAGGAAAGAGAAGGACUUGAAUGUUUUUUUAAAACCUGGAGACCACCUUAAACGUUUUUAAAAUCCUUGACAAGAAUUGUGCUUUGAAUCUCAGGUGUCUCACAACUCUGUUA